rnacentral:rRNA from 1 species
GACGAACCGUGCGAACGUUAUUCGGAAUCACUGGGCUUAAAGCGCGUGUAGGCGGCCCGGCACGUCCGUCGCUGAAAUCCCCCGGCUCAACCGGGGAAGUGGCGUGGAUACGACCGUCCUGGAGGGACGUAGGGGGACCUGGAACAUCCGGUGGAGCGGUGAAAUGCGUUGAGAUCGGAAGGAACGCCCGUGGCGAAAGCGAGGUCCUGGACGUUUUCUGACGCUGAGACGCGAAAGCCAGGGGAGCGAACGGG